rnacentral:lncRNA from 1 species
UCCCUCUCUACCGUGUGCUAGGAAGGCCGAGAGCAGCAGGCUGGCCUGGGGGGCUCGGGAGACCUGGGAGACAGUCCCCUUGGCUGUGGACAUGGUGCUCUUCGGUGGACCCUCGUGGGCUGAGGAUCCAUCAGACACCCAGCACCAUCUCCAGUCCUUGAGGGACGCUUCUCACCGUUCUCAGCAUCGCGACGUGCAGGACGGCUCUGUCAGCAGUGGGGACAGGAGCAAAUGAAAGUGUAGGUUCCUUGUUCAAAAGGGACAAGGAGACAUUCCCCUUUCUCCCAGGGUCUGGCCACCAGCCGUGGGUGCUUGAUCUGCCAGUUGACGGUGCCCUCCCUGGCACACCGCAUACUCAGGGGAGCCAGUGCAGAUGUUCACAGGAGCACGGCCUGACCUGACCUCCUCCCACUUAGCCCCAGGCCCCUGCUGGGGAUGGAGGAUGGCCGUGGUCACCAGGCAGGGUGGGCCAGGAAACCAAGUGACCAGAAACCUGUCCCAAGGAGGUGGAGGGGCAGUAGGAGGCAGGUGCCUGUUCUGUAGUCCACCUGUGCCACACUCUCAGAGAGGAUAUUGUUAGGGACUUCAAGACAGUGACCAUGAGCAGGCAACUCCAAGGGAGGGACAUGCCCAUGACCCCAUGAAGCUGCUCCUGGAAGUGGGUAUGCAGGAAGUACAAAAUGGGUGCUCAACAGUGAAGUGCUGAGGGUAGAGAAAGGAAAAGAGAGUCACAGGCUCAGAGUUUGGGGCUAUAUCCAGAGAAAUACCAACUCAAUGGCAGUUGUGGCGGCUCAGCCAGUGUUUGCUGAGUGAAUAUGUGUGAUUCCUUUCCUGAGCCCCAGGUCCCUGACCUAUAAAAUGGGAAAGAUAAUAAAGGUGCUUACAUCAGACAGAAGCAUGGAAUAUGUUCCCUUUUGGCAUGCAGAGGAAGCCCACCACUUCGAUCCUCUUCAUUCCCAAAGCUGGGUACCUAGUGCACAUUUAAAAAAUGUUUGUGUUGAGGAUUCCUAGAGAAAUGUGAUUUUUGCAAAUUGGAUUCAAAACAACCCCUUCACCUUUUCGGACCUCAUCGCCCCACGUGGAGGAUGCAGCUGGCAUGGAGGUGCGAGGCGGCUCCCCGACAGGCCACGCAGCAGCUGCGGGAAGGAGCAGGGAAGGAGUCCGUUUUAGUCUUCA